GCCCGGCUAGCGCAAUGGUAGCGCGUAAGACUUCUACCAUUCAGAAAUUGAUCUGUCUGAUGUAAUCUUAAGGUUGCGGGUUCGAGUCCCGCGUCGGGUU